AAAACUCCCUUGACGGUACUUAAUGAAUAAGCCCCGGCUAAUUAUGUGCCAGCAGCCGCGGUAAUACAUAAGGGGCGAGCGUUAUCCGGAAUUAUUGGGCGUAAAGGGUGCGUAGGCGGUUUAAUAAGUCUAUAGUUUAAUUUCAGUGCUUAACGCUGUUGUGCUAUAGAAACUGUUUUACUAGAGUGAGUUAGAGGCAAGCGGAAUUCCAUGUGUAGCGGUAAAAUGCGUAAAUAUAUGGAGGAACACCAGAGGCGUAGGCGGCUUGCUGGGACUUUACUGACGCUGAGGCACGAAAGCGUGGGGAGCAAACAGGAUUAGAUACCCUGGUAGUCCACACCGUAAACGAUGAGUACUAAGUGUCGGGUAAAACCGGUACUGAAGUUAACACAUUAAGUACUCCGCCUGAGUAGUACGUACGCAAGUAUGAAACUUAAAGGAAUUGACGGGACUCCGCACAAGCGGUGGAUCAUGUUGUUUAAUUCGAAGAUACACGAAAAACCUUACCAGGUCUUGACAUUUUCUUGCGAAGUUAUAGAAAUAUAAUGGAGGUUAUCAGGAAAACAGGUGGUGCAUGGUUGUCGUCAGCUCGUGUCGUGAGAUGUUAGGUUAAGUCCUAAAACGAGCGCAACCCUUGUCGUUAAUUGCCAGCAUGUAAUGAUGGGGACUUUAACGAGACUGCCAAUGAAAAAUUGGAGGAAGGUGGGGAUUACGUCAAAUCAUCAUGCCCCUUAUGAUCUGGGCUACAAACGUGAUACAAUGGUUGAUACAAAGAGUAGCUGAAACGCGAGUUCUUAGCCAAUCUCACAAAAUCAAUCUCAGUUCGGA
rnacentral:rRNA from 1 species